rnacentral:lncRNA from 1 species
AAAGGCCGAAAUUUUUGUUGAGAUCCACUCUUCAAUCCAGAAACUUUCUCUGGAGUAGUUGCCGUACCAGUUGCCGUAGCAGUACUCGUAGCAGUACGCGUAGCAGUCACAUUCUUCACAUCAGUUGCAGGCUUCACUGCAAUCUUUCCAUUUGCAGCAUUCCUUGCAGACAUCUUCACUUCUGGCUUUGUAGCAGACGUAGCUACAUCCUUAGUUUUUUCUGAUAAUACAAAAUCACCUUCAGCUUUAGAACAUUCUCCUUGAUAUCCAAGGCCGCAUCUAUCACUUUUU